AGGAUAAACGCUGGCGGCGUGCCUAACACAUGCAAGUCGAACGCUCUUUUUCCUCGCAAGAGGGGGGAGGGAGUGGCGGACGGGUGAGGAACACAUGGGUGACCUACCUUUCAGUGAGGAAUACCGGCGAGAAAUCGCCGACAAAACCGCAUAGGCUCGAUGCAAGUCGAGCAAAG
rnacentral:rRNA from 1 species